rfam:Myotis lucifugus cont2.21716, whole genome shotgun sequence.
GUGCUCUCUUCUGCAGCACAUAUACUAAAAUUGGAAUGAUACAGAGAAGAUUAGCAUGGCUCCAAAUUCAUGAAACGUUCCCUAUUUAAAAAAAAAAUGUUAUC